rnacentral:rRNA from 1 species
UACAGAGGUCCCAAGCGUUGUUCGGAUUCACUGGGCGUAAAGGGUGCGUAGGUGGCUACUUUAAGUUUGAUGUGAAAGCUCCGGGCUUAACCCGGAAAUGGCAUUGAAGACUAUUGAGCUAGAGGUUUGGAGGGGGGACUGGAAUGCUUGGUGUAGCAGUGAAAUGCGUAGAUAUCAAGCGGAACACCGGUGGCGAAGGCGGCUAACUAGGCUGUAACUGACGCUGAGGCACGAAAGCGUGGGGAGCGAACAGG